rnacentral:lncRNA from 1 species
CAGCAGGGAUUGGGGGGGCCAGCUGCCAGCCCUCUUGGCUGGUCCUGGCCUCCCUUCCUCCCACAGUUCCGUCUCUGCUGUUGUCUCCAACAGGCAGGGUCUGAUCUGCCCCCACCCCACGAGACGGUGACUGUGCUCCCGGGGCCCGACCCUGUGGAGACUCAGCUUUCCUCCCAUUCUCUGGCCAGGGAGCUCCACGGUCCAUCUGUGGACAGCUCUCUCAUACCACUGCACUCCAGCCUGGGAAACAGAGAGAUCCCUUCUCUACCAAAAAUAAAAAAAAAUUUUAAUGACCCCAGAACUCUGAGUUCAUAAUUGAAUGCCAAUAAAAUCUCAGCCAUGAAUGGAACAGAUGCCUGCAAACAUUUUUAUUAUUAAAAUAAUGCCUUCCUUGUAUGAACAUCUCAUAAUUGAGGGUCAAAUAUAAGCAAAAAGCAGACUCAAAGCCAGCCAUCCCUGGUUGACUUGUUGACAAAAUAAUUCACAGACAGUUCCCAGGCCCUCGGCCACAUGGGAGCAAACCAAGAGAAGGACAGGCAGAAGAGGAGACAGCCACGCAGACCACCAAGCUGGGGACUCAGACCCCAUCGGGGUUCACCCACUGUGCUCUGGCCUCAGUUUCUCUUUCUGUGUGGACUUCACCCAGCCAAUCCACUUUCUCACUGGGGUGGGUUCAUGGGAGCAGCUCUGAUUCACAUCUUUA